UUCAUCCAGAGUGACUGAGGGACUGGCCCUAUGACGUCGCGGCAACCAUUCCGAAAGGAAAACGGUGCCAAUUCCACCGGGAUAUCCCGACAGAUGAA
rnacentral:ncRNA from 1 species